CGACUCUUUGCAAAGGUAUAUCCUCAGCUAAUUGAAGUAGAAGAAUUAUGAAAAUAUGUUUCCUAGGUUGUGGGAUUUCCAAGAGGUCCAGAGAGUCAGGACUGGGAGCCAUGCAGCCAGGAACCAUGCUCGUACCACACCGUGGGGUUGCUACAGUGAAGAGUCCACUAUGUGUCACACCACAGAUGACCACUGAUGCUGGGCAUGGGAUUCCAGAACCUCCACCACUGCCUGCUCCAAACUGCAUACGUCUACCUUCAACCUCAUGAAAAGUAUGAAGGCCUCUGGUUCUAUUCAGCUGCCUCCUCUUUCGGCUACGCUGCCUCUCCAGGCGGGAGGACUUGGGGAUCUGCAGAGAAGGGAGCCUUUGCAGGUGUAGUGCUGAAGACCCGUUUACCAGGUUUUUUAAUCUGUGGGCCUCCACUCAGUCAUCGAUGGGAGAAGAUUUCGGUUGGAGCUGCUUUGGCUUACAAAGGUAAUUGUAGCUGUUUGUGGAGAAAGGCUGACCUUAUAACCCCUCACCAAUUUAUCCAGAGACUAAGUACCGUCCUUUGUCGUAUAGCUGCCAUAUACCUUUUUAAUGUGCAUUAUUUCAUAUUUGUUUUUUACCAGGUGAUAUUUAGAGACAAGGAUAAAGUGACAUUGAAUGUAAAAGAAGAAAGUAUUGGUAAAGAAAUAUUCAAGGAGGUGUGUUCAAGUGGAAGGGGACGAGGAUAAACCUGUGGCUGAUUCAUGCCGAUGUUUGGUAGAAAGUAACACAGUAGUGUAAAGCAAUUACCCUUCAAUUAAAAAUAAAUAAAUUUACCAAGAGACA
ensembl:lncRNA